rnacentral:sRNA from 1 species
GCUGUCGCAAAAUCGACAGCCGGGCGUGAGAACCCGAGUCACUCAACGGCGACACCAGACGCGCCUAGCGUCUUUUUU